rnacentral:rRNA from 1 species
AUGGCAGCUCCAGGCCAAUCUCCGCACGAUGCAUGUGAUCAUACGGUGAGCAGAGGCCCGGCUCUGCUGCCCCGGCAGGCCAGCUCGGCGCCACCGGCUGGGCCGCCGGAGCUGUCGACGACAUCGUCGUCGACGACGGGGUCGGGGAGGACCGCGCCGGAGGCAAGGGCCCUGAAGGCCCACAGCGAGGCCGAGCGCCGGCGUCGGGUGAGGAUCAACGCUCAUCUCACGGCGCUCAGGAGGAUGAUCCCUGAUACCAAGCAGAUGGACAAGGCCGCCUUGCUGGCCAGGGUGGUGGACCAAGUGAGGCAGCUGAAGAGGAGAGCCAGCGAGGCCGCACAGCAGACGCCGGCCGUCCCGCCGGAGACCGACGAGGUCUCCGUCGAAUUCUGCUGCACAGGGGACACCGAUGACGACGACAGCCGCCUGUACAUUAAGGCGUCUGUCAGCUGCGAUGACCGCCCGGACCUCGUCGCCGGUUUCAUCCAGGCGCUCCAUGGCCUGAGACUUAGGACAGUAAGAGCGGAGGUGUCCUCCCUGGGAGGAAGGGUGCAGCACGUCUUCACACUCUGCAAGGAGGAGGAAGGCAGUGCAGGGUGUGCUGGACUGAAUUCCCUGAAGGAGGCUGUGAGGUUUGCUCUGGCCAAGGUUGCUUCAUCAGAGCUGGUGUGUGGCGGCAGUCCGUUCCAGUUCCAGAGCAAGAGGCAGAGGAUUCUUGAGUCGCAUUACUCAAUCAUGUCCAUAUAG